GUGGGGAAUCUUGCGCAAUGGGCGAAAGCCUGACGCAGCCAUGCCGCGUGAAUGAUGAAGGUCUUAGGAUUGUAAAAUUCUUUCACCGGGGACGAUAAUGACGGUACCCGGAGAAGAAGCCCCGGCUAACUUCGUGCCAGCAGCCGCGGUAAUACGAAGGGGGCUAGCGUUGCUCGGAAUUACUGGGCGUAAAGGGCGCGUAGGCGGACAGUUUAGUCAGAGGUGAAAGCCCAGGGCUCAACCUUGGAAUUGCCUUUGAUACUGGCUGUCUUGAGUACGGGAGAGGUGAGUGGAACUCCGAGUGUAGAGGUGAAAUUCGUAGAUAUUCGGAAGAACACCAGUGGCGAAGGCGACUCACUGGCCCAAUACUGACGCUGAGGCGCGAAAGCGUGGGGAGCAAACAGGAUUAGAUACCCCGGUAGUCC
rnacentral:rRNA from 1 species